rfam:Tetranychus urticae London genomic scaffold, scaffold_6
UUACCCUGACCAGUGGUAAGAUAAGCAAAGGCUAGGGGUGACGACCUCUAAGUCUGCGGAUCGAACCCGGUCAGGGUGC